rnacentral:tRNA from 1 species
GGGCCCGUAGCUCAGCCUGGUAGAGCGGCGGGCUCUUAACCCGUAGACCAGCGGGCCUUCGGCCUGGCUGGGCGGAGGUCCCGGGUUCGAAUCCCGGCGGGCCCG